rnacentral:lncRNA from 1 species
GAGGAUUUCAAAGGAAUAUAAACCACCAUCUCUGAAUGCUAAAAGCUCCCAGGGCAAUGCAUAGGAUCCCCAAAAGCAUCCUUCUGAACAAAUUAGAUUCAUUGUUCCUAAUCACAUAUACUAAGGCUUUCAAGCACAUCCUAGAUGAUAACCAUUUCCCAGGUUUUGGAAAGCAAAAUGUUCUGUAUGCCUGGGGCUUGUCAGUGUCAACGCAGCAGACUACCAUUUCCCUGCUGAGGGACCUGCAAAUUCUCUAAGAAACAAUCGUAGACUGAGAAAAUAACUACAUGGUGAAAUGGAAGGUACCUGGGACUAGUAGCCAAAUUGAUGGUGGUGACAGCCUGUCUGGAGUGGCUGCUGUGAGGAUGCCAGCUACAGUGGAGGAGGCACAGUCAAGGUUGUGCCCUCUGUGGAGCAGGCGGGACCUGGGAACAGCCAGGAACAGCCUGAAGCCUGGGGACUUGACGGCCAAUUCCCAUUGAUGUCUGCAGCCCAGAGUGAGAACUUCAAUGAUGACUGUUCAGCCAAUCUAAUGGUGUUUUUUCCAGGCCUGCCCAUGGCUACCUACAGACCAUUCAGCAGGCACCUUCUCCCUUCUGAGCCCAUAAACACCCCAACCUCACGCACUUCUCUGGACGACCUUCCUGGGGAUAGGAGGUACCCAGUCCAAGUCGCCUCUCUAUUAAAGGGCUGCACUCAUCAGGACUCCCUGCCUGCAGAUAGGAGCUACGUACUCCAGGUCUCCUCUUCACAACAUCUGGACACUCAUCCGGAUGGCAUGCCUGUGAUAAGGAACUACCCACUUCAGGUCUCCUGAGAGCUGUUAUGUUGCUCAAUAAAGCUCCUGUCUGCCUUGCUGUCCCUCCAGUUGUCCACAUACCUCAUUAUUCCAGGACGUGGGACAAGAUCUCGGAACCCACCGAAUGGCAGGACUGAAACAGCUGUAACACAAACAAGCUAAAACAUGUCCCCUCUGCUCACCACAUUGCAAGUGAUGAGGAGAGAAGAGCUGCAGCCCUUCGGGGAGCCCAGACCUAGGGAUUCCCCAAGCCAGGGCUGUGAAACCUCUUUGGGGCUCUGAGGUUCCUAGCGUCUCCAACCCUCCAGGAACUGCUGCCUUCCCUUCGUCCAGAUGCGGUUGCCCGCAGCAGAAGCCACUUAUGGUACAUCUAAUCCAGCCACAGCCUUACAUGGAGCUGGCAGUUGUCAGUGCCUGGAGCUGCCCACCCCACUGCAGUAGCUGGCACGCCUAGCUGUGCACAGUGACCAGACCCCAUGCUCACUUGCUCACACAUUCCUCGCUUCUCCGCACCUGGCUUUCCCUUGGCAGGCAUGGGAUCCGGCCAGUAGUGUGGCCUAGUGAAGCCUGCCAGGCUGAGUGGGUGGAAUGAGAGCCCCGUGGGCUCAAGGAAAACUCAGCCCCACACAUGGAGAUGCAGACCAGCU